CUAGGAUAUCCGUAUGCUUAACAAUGUAUGGCUGCGGUCUUUCUUGCAACUGCAAACUGAACGUGUUUGGUUAAGAAUCAAGUACAUGUAGAUAGAAGAAAAACACCAAGAAACUGCCAAACUUCAAAUCAAACCAAGAAAAUCGUAGAUUUUUUUAAGUCACGAAGAGGACCCCAUAUCUCAAUUUAAAUGGAAUUAGGAAUUAAAGACAUUGCCGUCUUGCAAAGCAUAAUUAAACAAACGGAAUUCAAACAUACCUUUUUGCUAAUCUCCUUUUGAAUCACUCAAAUUCUUUAUAAAUCCACAUAAUACCACCUUUCGACCACUGUGCCCAUCGGACUCCACCACCGUAAAUGUGGUUGUUUCGGAUAGAUUGGUGACCAAUACUAUGGAGGAGGAUAUUGGGGAGAGUGAGGCGACACUGGUGCUGGUGGAGUCCGAUAGGUGUUGUGGUCGAAAAGUGGUGCUAUAUGGAUCUAUAGGUGGUGGCUUGGUGGGAUUGUGAAAGUGGCGGUAGUGGAGAAUUUAGGAUUUAUCUGUAAUGUUUUGAAAAAUUUAGAACUAUGAUUGCAAUUAAUUAAUUAUUUUUUUCUUUUCUUUUUGUUUUAUUUCAAUCGGAGGGUAAAAUCGUCAUUUUAUUGAAAAAAUGGAUGAAAAGCACCUUUUGCGCAAUGAAAGGUGAAAUGUAGGGGUAAAAAUGUUAAAAAUAAAAGGUAGGGACCUUUUCUGCUAAUUAUGCUAAAAAAUAAAAGGUAUGGACGUUUUGCACAAUAACUUUGAAAGGUAUGGACCUUUUGUGCUAAUUACCUUUUUGAUUUAACGGAGCAUUUUAACGGAGAGUUGACAGAAGGACGUUUUGCACAAAAAAGGGAAAGGUAAGGGUGUAAUCCGUCAAAAAAUGAAAGGUAAGGACGUUUUCCACAAAAACAUUGAAAGGUAGGGAUGUUUUGUGCUAAUUACCCAUAAUUAAAUCAUGACACGUCAUACAUAUUCCAAAGUCAAUUGAGGCCUUGAGGGACUGGAAUCUAUUCCUUCCUUUCAUAUUCAGCUCAAUAACAAUAAAACAAAAACAUCACUGCCAUUUUUCUUGAUUACUGCGUGACCUGUCACCUCUCAACCAACCAUUAUUCGUCUUCUAAUGUUUACUAAGGACUCGUUUGAGUCCCAUUAAAAAAAAAUACAUAGAGAUAGAGCAAUAUAUGAAGAAGAAUUUGAAAACGUAAGACUUACUGUUUAUUGUGAAUUAGUAUGUGAAUGAUUUGGAUCAUUUUAUAUGUUUUAUGAUAUUUUAAAAUUUAGAGUAAUAUUAUUUGCUGUCGCUCACUGCUAUAACCGUUCUAUAUAUACAUGUGACGAUUAGUAAUUUGAUACAUUAAUGUCAUAGUUUUUCAUUAUCUUAUACAAAAAAUCACUAACCGUCACAUGUAUGCCGCAUAAGAUGAUUGUGAUAAUAAACGACUGCAAAUAAUAUUAUUUUAUAUUUUAAUGCUCACAAAAAAGUUCAAAACAUUGAAGAGGAGACUUGAAAGUCUGCUUUCCCUUUCUCUUAAACUUAGUUAGUAUCAAGAUAAACACUUUUAACUUUGUAGCAUAGAGUAACUGUAUCCUAAUUCAAAAUUAAAAUUACCAACCAAAACACAAACAACCAAAAUAAUUAUUAGCUUAAAAGCAAAAAAUAAAAUAAAAAUAAUUAACAUAUGAUUCUAGGAGGGUUUUGUUUGAUUUCGUGAGCGGUGUACUCUAGAAAGAAUUCAAUAAAUUUAAGAAAAGAGAUUCGCAAACCUUUGCAACUAAAUAUUAAAACAUGACAUAGCAAUAUAGAAAAAGGAAAAGUAAUAAUCAAAUUAAAUGUUGAUGGUGAUUUGAUGAAUAUAGUGAUUUAAAAAUUUUUGAAAUUAUAUUAGCGAUGUAUUUAAUAAGAACAAUAUUAAAAUUUGACGUGGAUAAAAAUAGUAAUUUUUAAGAAUUUUAAUAGAAAUGGAUACAAAAUGGGAUAUAAUUAUUUAUUGUUAAACUUAUGCUGUGAAGCCAACGACAAGAAUUUCUUAAUCUAUUGUAAACUACAUCGAAAGAUAUUAAAACUAAUAAUUCAGUUCAUAUAGGCCUCGUUUGGUAGUGAUUUUUUGCUCCAAAAAAUUGAUUUUUUGACCGUUAUUUUACUAUUCAAGCCGUAAUUUUUGACUUCUUCUCUCACAUGUGGACCCCACUUUUUUUCUAAUGAUCAAAAAAUCAAUUCUCAAAAUCCCUACCAAACAGGCCCAUAGUAUAGUUAUUAUCUACACCGGAUGGGAUUUUUAGUUUUUAGUACGUAUCCAUGAAGUAUAUCCUAGGAUAUCCUUAUGCUUAACAAUGUAUGGCUGCAGUCUUUCUUGCAACUGCAAACUAAACGUGUUUGGUUAAGAAUCAAGUACAUGUAGAUAGAAGAAAAACACCAAGAAACUGCCAAACUUCAAAUCAAACCAAGAAAAUCGUAGAUUUUUUUAAGUCACGAAGAGGACCCCAUAUCUCAAUUUAAAUGAAAUUAGGAAUUAAAGUCAUUGCCGUCUUGCAAAGCAUAAUUAAACAAACGGAAUUCAAACAUACCUUUUUGCUAAUCUCCUUUUGAAUCACUCAAAUUCAAAGCCUGCGACAAUUUUCACAUUCCUCCCUCCAAAUUAACAAGACUCGUGAUUUUCUUGUGC
rnacentral:lncRNA from 1 species